rnacentral:piRNA from 1 species
UGUCUGAAGCAUAGAAGGUCAUGAGGC